GACGUAGGGGGCCAGCGUUGCUCGGAAUUACUGGGCGUAAAGGGUCCGUAGGCGGUGCGGCAAGUCGGGAGUGAAAUCUCCGGGCUUAACUCGGAGGCUGCUUCCGAAACUGCCGUGCUGGAGUGUGGGAGAGGCGAGUGGAAUUGCAGGUGUAGCGGUGAAAUGCGUAGAUAUCUGCAGGAACACCCGUGGCGAAGGCGGCUCGCUGGACCACAACUGACGCUGAGGGACGAAAGCUAGGGGAG
rnacentral:rRNA from 1 species